CUGCCUAGUAAUUCUGCACAGCA
rnacentral:piRNA from 1 species